rnacentral:rRNA from 1 species
AAUGAACGUUGGCGGCGUGGAUUAGGCAUGCAAGUCGCGCGACAAGGAACCUUCGGGUUCUGGAGGAGCGGCAAACGGGGUAGUAAGGCAUUGGAACGUACCCUCUUGUUGGGAAUAGCCGCGGGAAACUGCGAGUAAUGCCCAAUAAUCCCUACGGGGCAAAGGUCCGCCGCAGGAGGAGCGGCCGAUGUGAUACCAGCUAGUUGGUGAGGUAAUGGCUCACCAAGGCUUAGACGUCUAGGGGGUAUGAGAGCAUGGCCCCCACCACUGGACGUGAGAUACUGCCCACGACACCUACCGGGUGGGCUGCAGU